rnacentral:lncRNA from 1 species
GCCCAUCUGUAAAUCUGAGCUGAAAUUUUAAAAGCACACAUCAGAGGAAGGGGCCAGACCUACUGGAGCAGGGUUUUUUGCAAGAAACGCAGGGAGACAAAGGAGAAGCAGCAUUUAGGCCCCCUUUGCCCAGUAUAUUCUAGGUUAGCACCAGAAAUAUAUAUGGGUCAGAGCCAACCUUAGGCAACAGGGUCCUUAUAUUAUUUGAUUAAGGAAGUUUUGCCCUGCCCCUUGCAUGAUCAAGAGCUGGUGUAUGGAAACAAGCCAGGCAAGAACCUUACCUGGAUGCCAUCCUGCCAGCUCAGCAUUUGGGUUUGGGGAAGAGGCUAGCCUUUCCCCUGGCUUGAUCAGAUGCCUGGGAUUCUAACUGUGUGUUCACAGUUGUGGGGAGAGGCAAGCUAUUGACAGGAGUCACAUAUUUGUUCGUGAUUGUUGUCAGCAAUCCUGCCUGGCAUGAUGGAGACAGAGGGCUGGAUUCUAAGCCUUGCCUUUGCAAGGAUGUCUCAUUAUCAAAAAUGUAUGCUACGGUUAAGCCUAAACGGAGAAAAGCAAAAGAUAUUUGCCAAUGAACAAUAACCUGGAUGCUCAAAGGAUGAUAACCCUGAGGUUGAGGGAUACCAAGUACCUUGUCCACAAUUCAGCAACAAUGGGACAGGUGUGAUACAAACCUCUUGUUCCAUCUUGUUCUCUUUCUGCUUGACCAUUGCACCAUUGAGAGAAGUGAAACUUGGGCUGAGUCUACAAGGGGCACCCAAAAUAACCAUGGUGUGUUUAUGUUCAUUUAAAAUCAUAAAAUUUGUGUAGGAAAUAGUUUUCCAGAAUGACUACUUAUAUGGAUUAAAUAAAUCAGA